CGGAGUAGAAAUAAAGACUGGAACUUACUAGAGCAAUCUCACCGGGCAAAAUCAUGGAUAUCUGGAAACACUCAGUUGCCGUAUUGGAAAGGACCUUGUUACCAGCAUGAAGCUUUAUCUUCACGACCUGUAGCAACUGUAGCUACACUUUGGGAGAAAGCUAAAGGUGAAGAAAGAUCGCAGCUUCUGUCCGAGUGGGUGGUCAUGCGUGAAGUUCUAUGGGUUCUGAUGUGUCCUGUGUCGUCUUAUAUCUUCCAGCAGAAUGAGAAAGGGGGGGGACUUCGUUAUGGAAAAUAAAAUGACACUUCCAAGCUUGACUCAUGGAGCAAUUGUUUCCCUUCUUGAGGAUCUCUGUGAGCCUUUAAAACAAUUGAGUGAACUUGAUAUAUUUAUGAGGAACAUUGAGAAUCCUGAGGGUAGUCCUCCAACACCAGUAACAUUGCUUGCAUAUGUGGCUGGAUUAAGACACUGGCGCAGGCAAUUCCAGAUGCACCUCACUUCUCUAGAAAACAUUGUUAAAA